GGCCGCACGGGAUAAUCGAUUAUCCCGUGCGGUCCGUUUAGGACAACCGCACACGAUAAUAGGAUUAUCCCGUGCGGCC
rnacentral:pre_miRNA from 13 species